rnacentral:rRNA from 1 species
CGAAGGUGGCAAGCGUUACUCGGAAUUACUAGGCGUAAAGGGCAGGUAGGUGGUUCGAUAAGUCUGUUGUGGAAGCUCCCGGCUCAACUGGGAGAGGUCAACAGAUACUGUCGAGCUUGAGUAUAGGAGAGGGUACUGGAAUUCCCGGUGUAGCGGUGAAAUGCGCAGAGAUCGGGAGGAACACCAACGGCGAAAGCAGGUACCUGGACUAUUACUGACACUCAGCUGCGAAAGCUAGGGGAGCAAACAGGAUUAGAUACCCUGGUAGUCCUAGCCGUAAACGAUGCACAUUAGACGUGAGGGGUAUCGACCCCCUUCGUGUCGACGCAAACGCAUUAAAUGUGCCGCCUGGGGAGUACGGCCGCAAGGUUG